AUAUGCAGUUGCCUAUUAUUGGUUAAGAUUUUCAAGAUUUAGAUGAGUCUCAUUGGUUAAGAUAUACGAUAGUGCUGCUUUAUAUAAACGAUGUUAUAAACAUCUUGCCGUUAUGAACUAAAGUGCAUUAUAAAACAGAACGAUUGCUAAUAUGUUAACAUAAGUAUUUGAUAUGUAAUCGUAUUUUAUAAAAUGUUGAUUAGUAUUUAUUACGGCUCGUUGUUGAAUUUAAUUAAAAAGAAAAAAGAAAUGUGAAGAAUAAAGGAAAAAAUAAGAAAUAUAAAGCAAACAAAUAAAAUCAAGUGCGAAGGAGAAAACGAAUGAAAAGAAAUCAAUUCGUACAUGAUAUACAACAAUUAAAGUUAACAAGUUAUGUAGAUAGUGUUCUGAAGUAGUCUCAGAAUUUACUUAUAAUGAAACACUGUAAGAAGUUAAAAAAAGUGGAUUCUAACACAAAAUUAUCAACUAAUGAAAAAAAUAAAAUUCUUAAACUUCGAUGAUUAUAUCAUCAACGUCGGAUACAUUGCAAAAGAUCAAAAAUACGAUGGAUUUUUAAGCUAAGAAAAAAUUUUGGGAACUCUAAGGACUUUAGGUGGCAAGCGCAGAAGAUUGUAUGAUUUUUCAAGAAAAGGAAUAGAUUUGGGAAUAAUUAUUAUCAGGAGAGCGAGACAAUCUUUUAAAAAAAUUUCCAUUUGUCUAACAUACUUAUAUUUGUUAAAAAAUGAUGUUCAUAAUACAUUAUCUUCUGCAUGAUUAAUUUUAGAUAAACUUUUAUAUAAUUGUGGACGAAAUUGUAAGAAUAAUAAAACAAGAAAUAUAAUGCUUGAUAAUCAACUCAAAAUUGUGUCUUCGAAUGUGAUAUAUAAUACAUAAAUGUAGGAUGAAAGAUUUCAGAGCUAGUUAGUCUCGCAUAUAUGUGUGUGAAAUAUGGCGAUUGAUAGUCGAACAGAGAGAUAGAAGGUUCCAGAGCUAGUUAGACGUGUGUAUAUGCAUGCGUGAAGUAAGCCAAUCUGCAGUUGAACAAAGAAAUAGAAAGUUCUAGCGUUUGUCAGUUGUGUACGUGUGUGUAUGAGACAAAUUGGUCGGCAGUACGUUAUGAAAAGAAAAUCAGGAGCUAUAUAUAUAUAAUAUAUAUAAUAUAUAUUCGUUAUCGAAUAUAUAUGUGAUAGCGAAGCAGACGUAGCUAAUGCGAUAAUCGCAUUUAUCAAUGAAAUUUUAUUUGUAUAGAAACACCAUACGCGUUACUUACUCGCUCUACUCGUUUCGCGAGCUGCGAUUGUUUGUAAGAAUUAGUCUAACACAAUACCAAUUCCAUAUGUGCGUGAAGGAAAAUCUGGAUUACAAAAAAAACGUUUUUCUUAAAAAUUUUUUGCUGGUUUUUCUUAUGUACGGGAUUCGAAUCCAGUUGCGUCCAGGUUAUGUUAAUCAUUUUGAAAAUUUCGUGGAUCCAAAUACUUAAAUUCAUUUACAAAAUAUAGAGAGAUUGUAGAGAGAAAUGUGUAUUCAUUUUUUGAUAUUCGGAAGAAUCAUAAGCAUUAUAUUGUUGAAUUGUUAUUUAAAAAGACUUUAUAUCUUUGAUAAACCUAUUGAUUUCUUUUUAAAUAAUCAACACAACGUAUUUAAUAAACAAUUAAUUCAUCAUAUUAAUAUUUUAUUUCUUAAUGCUUUAUAUUUGUAUGUUUAUUUAAGUAUAUAUAGCUGUAUAGUAUCAUAAAUUGAAACCGUGUGAGUAAGAUUUUCUUCCAUUUGUUCUAACCAAAAGCAAGUAUUAUGAACUUAUGAUUGUAGAGCAGGAAGACAAGGAAAUAAUAGACGAAAAUAAAAAAGUGCUUCGUAUUUGUCAUCGUAUCUUAUUAGUAUUAGGUAUAUCUAUUGGUGGGUAGUUAUGUGCCCAAAUUAUUGUAGAUACGAUUUCGUAUCAAAGAUCAAUUUCAAGAUUCAUUAAGAAUUCGUACGAAAAACUAGCACUCGAGGUAAUGUAUGGAAUGCAUUCAAAAAAGAGGACGGAGAUUUUUGUGAGACACUAGCGAAUAUAGAUUGGCUAUAUGGUACUUUUCUCUUUUAAAUAUAUUUUAAAUUCUUUCGUUAUUAUAAAUCACUACCAUUAUAUUAGGUGGUCCGGAAAGUAAUGUCGUUUC